AUUGAACGCUGGCGGCAGGCCUAACACAUGCAAGUCGUGCGAGCCGCGGACGGGUGAGUAAUGUAUGGGGAUCUGCCUGAUGGCUGGUGAUAACUACUGGACACGGUAGCUAAUACCGCAUACCAUCAGAUGAACCCAUAUGGGAUUAGCUAGUAGGUGGGGUAACGGCUUACCUAGGCGACGAUCCCUAGCUGGUCUGAGAGGAUGAUCAGCCGCACUGGGACUGAGACACGGCCCAGACUCCUACGGGAGGAAGAAGUGGGGAAUAUUGCACAAUGAGCGAAAGCCUGAUGCAGACGUGCCGCGUGUAUGAAGAAGGCCUUCGGGUUGGAAAGUACUUUCAGGCGGGAGGCGUUACCGACAGAAGAAGCACCGGCUAACUACGUGCCAGCAGCCGCGGUAAUAC
rnacentral:rRNA from 1 species